CUACAAGUUAAGUUAGGCAUAUGGUUUGUCAACAUGCCCAUCGAUCUUCUACCAGUGAAACUAAACUAGACCCGCCAUUUUUCCCCCAUUGAUCUAAUGUACAGGCUCUUUCUACAUGUAAAGUUACAAAAAGGGAAAAUUGGGGAGUAACAAAUAAACCAAGUACCUCACACCAUCAACAAAUCAUAGUAACCCCUAAUGUUCAUGCUUGACACGCCCUUUAAGUAUACCGGGAAUAGGGGGCGAUGUUGGUAGUCUAACUCCGUUUGGCCUCGCAACUUGGGGUGAUUGAUGAUAGAUAGGUGUGGUUGAGCACUCACCUCCAUUUCCAACCCAGGCUUGCGUAUCAUCUGGUUCUUUGCCAGAGAACCCCAAUGCUUUCAGUACAAAGGAAUCGUCAUGCAAUAUUCUUGUCUUACCUAUUGAAAUCAAAAUGCACCAGCUGCAUAUCUUCUGAUAUCUCCACUUCUACUGUAGCAUGAGGACGUGUCUGCACCAAUAUAAAUGGCAAUGCCACUCCUCCUGAAGGAGCAUUUCCUGAACCAUAAAGCUGCUCGUUUCGCUGUGCCAAAUAGAAGAAAAUAUCCUUACUUGAUCUUCUAACUCCUGCAAAUAUGCAUUUUUCUUGUCGAUCCUACCUUUCAGUCCGAUGAUCUCUGUCUGUAAAAUUUGUAUAAAUUUAUCAA
rnacentral:sRNA from 1 species